rnacentral:rRNA from 1 species
CGAGAAAGCCCGCAAGGGUGAGUAAAGCGGCGCACGGGUGCGUAACACGUGGGUAAUCUGCCCUAGAGUCCGGAAUAACUCGCCGAAAGGCGUGCUAAUGCCGGAUGAGACCACGGGAGCCUCGGCUCCUGCGGGAAAAGGUGGCCUCUGUAUACAAGCUAUCGCUCUAGGAUGAGCCCGCGGCCCAUCAGCUAGUUGGCGGGGUAAUGGCCCACCAAGGCUACGACGGGUAGCUGGUCUGAGAGGACGAUCAGCCACACUGGAACUGAGACACGGUCCAGACUCCUACGGGAGGCAGCAGUGGGGAAUCUUGCGCAAUGGGCGAAAGCCUGACGCAGCAACGCCGCGUGUGUGAUGAAGGUCUUCGGAUCGUAAAGCACUGUCGCGAGGGACG